GACGAACGCUGGCGGCGUGCUUAACACAUGCAAGUCGAACGGAAAGGCCCUGCUUUUGUGGGGUGCUCGAGUGGCGAACGGGUGAGUAACACGUGAGUAACCUGCCCUUGACUUUGGGAUAACUUCAGGAAACUGGGGCUAAUACCGGAUAGGAGCUCCUGCUUCAUGGUGUGGGUUGGAAAGUUUCGGCGGUUGGGGAUGGACUCGCGGCUUAUCAGCUUGUUGGUGGGGUAGUGGCUUACCAAGGCUUUGACGGGUAGCCGGCAUGAGAGGGUGACCGGCGACAAUGGGACUGAGAUACGGCCCAGAGUCCUACGGGAGGCAGCAGUGGGGAAUAUUGCACAAUGGGCGGAAGCCUGAUGCAGAAACGCAGCGUGCGGGAUGACGGCCUUCGGGUUGUAAACCGAUUUCGCAUGUGACGAAGCGUGAGUGACGGUAAUGGGUAAAGAAGCACCGGCUAACUACGUG
rnacentral:rRNA from 1 species